UACGUAGGGUGCAAGCGUUGUCCGGAAUUAUUGGGCGUAAAGAGCUCGUAGGCGGUCUGUCGCGUCUGCUGUGAAAACUUAGGGCUUAACCCUGAGCUUGCAGUGGGUACGGGCAGACUAGAGUGCGGUAGGGGAGACUGGAAUUCCUGGUGUAGCGGUGAAAUGCGUAGAUAUCUGGAGGAACACCGGUGGCGAAGGCGGCAUCCUGGACCGGUAUUGACGCUGAGGCGCGAAAGCCAGGGGAGCAAACGGG
rnacentral:rRNA from 1 species